UUAACAUAAGGAUGUAACUGGACAUGCUCCUAUUUUAUGUCGAUUUAACUGGUUGGAAACAUUACAUUGGUGGACACUGACCACUCCGAGCCUCUCAGUAUUCAUGGAAGCUGAGUUAGAUUUAUUUUAAUUACCAUGAGGUGGACCCACACCAUCAUCCAACCUGUCAAAGUUUGUUGAUUUUUUUGUUUAACCCGCUCUCGGUCGAGGAGUAAUCUUCUAUAAGAGGAAAAUUCUGGUUUUUUUGUUCAGGUUGUUGCUUGCUUUGUUUUUGUAGCAUAAACCAGAUGGGAAUGUACUAUUUUUGGCGAGUAAUCAUGCGAUUCUAGCUAGGCUCUAUCAAUUUAAUUUAUUCCUCAGUCAUGGAUACUCUAAAGAAGAUCCACACGGUCAUUAUUGCUUUGGACACUUAUAUACAGGAAGAUGUUGACUUUGUUCACAUUUAACCUAUUUUCAUAUCUUACAGAGCAAUCCAUUCAAAUAUGGUUAAUUUCCUCUUCCUCGUAUAUUUUUACCACUAUACCACUAGCAUAAAUGUGCUUUUAUUUAGUUCCAUACUUCCAUUUUAUAUUUGAUUCAUCUAUAGUAAGCUUGGUGGGUUUGGCAUUUUGCGUCACAAUUAUGUGUGUCUGGUCAAUUAUGUGUAUCGUUUUGAUGACUCUUUGGUGUGAGACAAUGUCUUAAAAAGUUACAAGACACAUAGUAGUUCAAUGUGAACUCCCAGGAUUGUAUCUGGCACAAUUUGAUAAAAAGGCACGGUUUAGUGUGCAUCGAAAUAAUAGUUACAGAGUUUGGCCUUUUGUCUUUUUUCUCUAUAUUUUUCAUUCAGAACAUGCAGCCAGCGUGUUAUGGGUUCAGGUGAUCCUGAUGAAUUUGGUACAUUCAAAGUCCAUCUGUGAUGUCUUUGAUUUCGACAUGGUUUCCAGUUUAGGUUAGAGAAGCCUGUUAACCGUUCAAGUGUUAUAUGUGCUUGUGUGUUGGAGUUCUCUACCUAUUUGUUGGUACACUUGUGAGAAUAUUCUGUUUUUCAGGUAUCUGUUCUAGCAGAUGAUGGUUAAUGUAUGAGGGAUAGAGAUUAACGUCUUCGUAUCUAUGGUGGGCACUAGUAAUUUUGAAUUGAAAGUUUACACUUUUUUUCUAACAACCAGAAGCAUUAUUUAGGUUUUGGUCAGAAGAAAAGUGAACCUAAAGGGUGCAGUACUAUUAAUAUGAUACCAUGUAGGUUAUAGCUCAUGGAUAAUAAUGUUUCAGUCGCAGGAGAGCUUGCUGAACAGAUGAAGUUGACGUUAAAUCUUUGGUCACCUGCAAAUUUAGCUGCUUGAAGAUCAAGUUCGGCAGUAGUCAGUUUCCUGUUCGGUAGUAUUCAGUUUUGCAAUACAGUAGUGAUUUUUUAAUUUGUUAUGCUGCUGCUUACUUAGUGCAAAGUGGCACUCAAUUGUGUCCAAACGAAUUUUAUUUGUAAUUGUAAGGAUGUUUUUUAUUAUGCGAGAUAUUUCACAGAAGAAUCUAUUUAUUAUAUCACUUUAUUAUUCUGUUGUUACCAAAAUAUUCAUAGCGUAUAGAAUGAAUUGCCUUUGUUUCUUUUGCCUACCAAAAAUGCAUCCCACGGAAUCGUGAUAAUGGCCGAUGUUACUUAAAUCAUUUCCAUAUUUCAUUUUUACAAGGGACCUGGUGUAAUCAGUCCAAUAGAGCUAGUAAAAGAACUAACAAAAAAUACUCCCUCCGUCCGAAAAAAGCUGUCCCCGGCGAAAUUUUACGAAAACCCCCUCCCCCUUCCUCCGACAACGUCACAACCCUCCGCUCCUGCUCGGUCGCCUCGCCACGCGCGAGCCGCUUGCUCCGUCGCCUCGCCACGCACACCGACGAGGGCACCGGCCGCUUGCUCCGUCGCCCCGUCUCGCCGCCGUCUCCAUCGCCUUGCCGACCGUCGACCGCCUUCCCCCGCUCGUCUCGCCUCUUCUCUUAUUCCUCACCAGGAGCUCAAGAUGGAAGGAGUCCCAUUUUCUUCAAGCUCGCGAUUUGCCGGCUCCGGCGACGGCGCUGCCCCGUGCAUCCUCCGGCUCCGGCGAGGCUCCGAUCCACUACGCGGCUCUGCAGCUCGCUCGUGUAUGGAGGGGCUAGUCGUAAGGUGUUUGGCUGAAUGCGCAGCACAAGGAUGCGGAGGUGGCGCCCCUGACGAAGGAGGAGGUUGGCCGGGCGACCUGGAUGCUGCUCCACACCAUCGCCGUGCAGCGGCACAAAUCCUCACCUGCCCGUCGAUUUGGUGCUAGCAGCGGCGCAAAUCCUCACCUGGCCGUCGAUUCGCCGCCAUUGUGAGGGUAGUGCACGAGGAGCAAAAUUCCAUGUUGGCAGGAGGAGAGCAGGGAAGAGCAAAAUCUCACCUUUCUUUUUCUGGCGGAGAUGAGGCGGCGCCUUCAUAGUCCAGGAACUGCUCUACAACGGCAACUAUGUGGUCGAUGAGCUUGAUCACUACAGGCUCCAGCAGAAGCUCCAACCAGAGGAGGCAAUGACAGCUGCCACUGCUGCCAAUCAACAGAAGAGGUGAGGACAGCCUGGGGCGGCGCUGGGUGAGGUGACGAGGUAGGAGCGGAGGGUGCUUGCUGCUGCCGAGGUACUUGGAGUUGACGCGGGGGGAAAAGAACCAUCGGGGAGUCGUCAGAAUUGAUGACGAAGCGGACCGACAAGUCCCAUGGCUCCACCGCUACCAACUACACUGUCGGGAUGGCCGGGGCCGGAGAAGGGGAGGAGGACGAAGCAGAGCGGGCGGGGCGUGAUUAACAGGGGCGGCGAGGCGGGCUCACGGGCGGUGCAGAUUGAAGCGGCGGCGCAGGUGGGUGCGUAGGGCGCUGGCCGUGCGGCGGCUGUCGGCGAUGGCUCGAGCUCGUUCCUGCAGCGGGCAAUGGUGGAAGGAAGAAGAGGCAGGGGUGAUUUGCAGGGAUUUUAAGAUCGUAAGGUUUUUUUUGCAACAACGAAAAUGAACUAAGCGUUGGACAACUUUUCUCGGACGGAGGGAGUAUGAAAUAAGGAUGCAGUCUUAAAUCUAGAAUUAAGAACGCCGUAAGAUUACUUGAGUGGCUGUAAAACUAAAUCAAGAUGCGCCAGAUUCGUUCCUCGCCUAAAGGGAGUAAUUCACUCACAUGGAAACUCUAAGAUUACCUUGCACUUAUUCUGUCUACGGUUCGUUCGGUACGACGACUGGUUCCUCGUUCCAGCCGUAAUAUUACCUCACAAGUGUGUUUUUUCUUACAGAUUAUGGAUCUGAGUGUUGAACCGUUGUUGUAUACUUGCAUGUAAUACUUAUCUCUUCGUCA